rnacentral:rRNA from 1 species
UGUCUUUUUGAAAAUAAUAUAAAGUCUAAUCUGCCCACUGAUUUUAUAUUAAAGGGCUGCAGUAUUUUGACUGUACAAAGGUAGCAUAAUCAUUAGUCAUUUAAUUGAUGACUUGUAUGAAAGAUUGGAUGAAAUAUAAACUGUCUCUUAAUUAUUUAUAUAAAAUUUAAUUUUUUAAUUAAAAAGUUAAAAUAAUUUAAAAAGACGAGAAGACCCUAUAGAGUUUUAUGUUUAAGUUAAUUAAGAUUAUUUAAAAUUUAAAAUUAAAAUUAAUUUAUUUAUUAUAUUGGGGUGAUAGAAAAAUAUAUAUAACUUUUUUUAUAUAAAAACAUUUAUAAGUGGUUAAAUGAUCCAAUAAUAUUGAUUAUAAGAAAAAAUUACCUUAGGGAUAACAGCGUAAUUUUUUUUUUUAGUUCAUAUAAAAAAAAGAGUUUGCGACCUCGAUGUUGGAUUAAGAUAAAAUUUAAAUGUAGAAG